rnacentral:rRNA from 1 species
GACGAACGCUGGCGGCGCGCUUAACACAUGCAAGUCGAACGGAAAGGCCUGCUUUCCCUUGUGGAUUGCGGGUACUCGAGUGGCGAACGGGUGAGUAACACGUGAGUGGUCUGCCCCCAACUUGGGUAUAAGCCUGGGAAACUGGGUCUAAUUCCCGAUAGGCCUGCAGGGUGGUGCCUGUGGUGGAAAACGAUUUUCUAGUGGUUGGGGAUGAGCUCGCGGCCUAUCAGCUUGUUGGUGGGGUAAUGGCCUACCAAGGCGGCGACGGGUAGCCGGCCUGAGAGGGUGGACGGCCACAUUGGGACUGGGAUACGGCCCAGACUCCUACGGGAGGCAGCAGUGGGGAAUAUUGCACAAUGGGCGGAAGCCUGAUGCAGCGACGCCGCGUGGGGGAUGACGGCCUUCGGGUUGUAAACUCCUUUCGACCGCGAGGAAGCCACCUGGUUGGAAGGGUGGUGACGGUAGUGGUAGAAGAAGCACCGGCUAACUACGUG